rnacentral:rRNA from 1 species
GAGUGGCGGACGGGUGAGUAACACGUGGGUAACCUGCCCAGAAGCAGGGGAUAACACCUGGAAACAGAUGCUAAUACCGUAUAACAGAGAAAACCGCCUGGUUUUCUUUUAAAAGAUGGCUCUGCUAUCACUUCUGGAUGGACCCGCGGCGCAUUAGCUAGUUGGUGAGGUAACGGCUCACCAAGGCGAUGAUGCGUAGCCGACCUGAGAGGGUAAUCGGCCACAUUGGGACUGAGACACGGCCCAGACUCCUACGGGAGGCAGCAGUAGGGAAUCUUCCACAAUGGACGCAAGUCUGAUGGAGCAACGCCGCGUGAGUGAAGAAGGGUUUCGGCUCGUAAAGCUCUGUUGUUAAAGAAGAACGUGGGUGAGAGUAACUGUUCACCCAGUGACGGUAUUUAACCAGAAAGCCACGGCUAACUACGUGCCAGCAGCCGCGGUAAUACGUAGGUGGCAAGCGUUAUCCGGAUUUAUUGGGCGUAAAGCGAGCGCAGGCGGUCUUUUAAGUCUAAUGUGAAAGCCUUCGGCUCAACCGAAGAAGUGCAUUGGAAACUGGGAGACUUGAGUGCAGAAGAGGACAGUGGAACUCCAUGUGUAGCGGUGAAAUGCGUAGAUAUAUGGAAGAACACCAGUGGCGAAGGCGGCUGUCUGGUCUGUAACUGACGCUGAGGCUCGAAAGCAUGGGUAGCGAAACAGGAUUAGAUACCCUGGUAGUCCAUGCCGUAAACGAUGAUUACUAAGUGUUGGAGGGUUUCCGCCCUUCAGUGCUGCAGCUAACGCAUUAAGUAAUCCGCCUGGGGAGUACGACCGCAAGGUUGAAACUCAAAAGAAUUGACGGGGGCCCGCACAAGCGGUGGAGCAUGUGGUUUAAUUCGAAGCUACGCGAAGAACCUUACCAGGUCUUGACAUCUUCUGCCAACCUAAGAGAUUAGGCGUUCCCUUCGGGGACAGAAUGACAGGUGGUGCAUGGUUGUCGUCAGCUCGUGUCGUGAGAUGUUGGGUUAAGUCCCGCAACGAGCGCAACCCUUAUUACUAGUUGCCAGCAUUCAGUUGGGCACUCUAGUGAGACUGCCGGUGACAAACCGGAGGAAGGUGGGGACGACGUCAAAUCAUCAUGCCCCUUAUGACCUGGGCUACACACGUGCUACAAUGGAUGGUACAACGAGUCGCGAAACCGCGAGGUUUAGCUAAUCUCUUAAAACCAUUCUCAGUUCGGACUGUAGGCUGCAACUCGCCUACACGAAGUCGGAAUCGCUAGUAAUCGCGGAUCAGCAUGCCGCGGUGAAUACGUUCCCGGGCCUUGUACACACCGCCCGUCACACCAUGAGAGUUUGUAACACCCAAAGCCGGUGGGGUAACCUUUUAGGAGCUAGCCGUCUAAGGUGGGACAGAUGAUUAGGGUGAAGUC